rnacentral:lncRNA from 1 species
GCCACCCCUAGUUUGAAAGGUGGUGUCAAUAAUGUAUCAAAACUAGUAAAAAGUACGGGCUUUGGGUCUGUUCUUAAACUUUGGGUUUCAAUACAACCUAAAACAGUGUCCAUUAGGAAUGAUUGGGCCGCUCCAGACCAGACUAGAGAGAAAAGCAAAACAAUGAGAACAGAAAGCAGACAAGUCUGACUAGAGAGAAACCCAGAAACUUUGGUCUCUCUUUGUAUCACUCCCCAGAGAGAGAGAGAGAGAGAGAGAGAGAGAGAGAGAGGAAUGGGAAAAAUGGCGGCGUUGGGAGCAAGAGGGGGCGGACUGGUGCUGCCAAAGCCGGUGACUUUCGUGACUGGAAACGCCAAGAAGCUCGAAGAAGUGCGCGCCAUCUUGGGCAACUCCAUACCCUUCAACUCCCUCAAGCUCGACUGUGAGUACAAUCAAUCUCUUUCUCUUUGAUCAUUUUUGGGUUUUGAUGAAUAAUAUUAAAGGUCUUUUGUUGUUGUUUAUGUUGAGUUUUGGCAGUACCGGAAUUGCAAGGGGAGCCUGAGGACAUCUCCAAAGAGAAGGCUAGGUUGGCUGCCCUUCAGGUUAAUGGUCCUGUGCUUGUGGAAGACACUUGCCUCUGCUUCAAUGCCCUCAAGGGUCUUCCUGGUUAGUCUCUUUAUCUCUUUUUCGACUUUUCUUAUUGUUGGUAUUGGUUGUUUCUGAUUGAUUGUGUAAAUUUCAAUGCAGGGCCUUACAUGUAAGUUUUCCCUUCUGACUUGCUCUCGCCAGGUCAACUUAUCUUUUGUUGCGCAAAAUUUGACAUUUUUAUCUUAAGGAAAGAUUGGAUUUUGGUUGAAGUUUGAUAACUAAAAGGCUCAUGUAGUCAGCUUUGUGAGUAAAUAUUUGUUAUUGCUUGCCGUUUUAAUUGUUUGUAGUUCAAGGAUACCCAAUUGAGUAGUGAUUGACACUGUUGCAUACAUGCGGAUCCCUUUCUAUAACUAAGGAAGUUGUAUAAUUUCUAUAGCAGAACACAAUUUUCUUUUAAAACGAAGUCACAAAUGGUGUUGCUGUCUAAAAACCACCUCUUUCAAAUAUGACUUUAUUGAGAAAUUCGAUGCAGAAUUGCAGCAUAUUUUUUCUCUUCUAUCUGUUUAUUGCUAACUAGGGUUUCCCUGUACAUGUACACUGUUGAUUUCAUUAAGGUAUAUUCAUUUGGCCUGCUUAUUAGUUGGAUUGAUCAAUUCUCUUUAUUCUUCUUUCCUUUCUCUUCUGUUUUCAUUUCACAAUUCCUGUCUCCUUGUAACUAAGCCCCUUUUUUUCCCCUAAGAUGAGCACUACUCUCUCAUUCAAGCUCUCCCUCGUGGAGCUUUUUGAAUUUAGAGAAUCAGACAAUGAUCCAAUGUUGCACUUGGUUUCUUCUUUCAUUAUAGAACAAAAUGUUAGUCUUGGUUUUCUUGUGUUUACUCUGUGUGUACCCCUCUUUUAAAACAAUAUAGAAUUUAGAACUUGAAGAUGGUUUAUGAUGCUUUCUGAACGGGGAUGCUGUCAUUGUCUGUGCUACAAAUUGGAAAAAAAUUUCUUUUUGUUUGUACUGUGGCUAUCAUCCUCGAAAACUUACAAAUCCAUGGUGUCAUAUACUGACAAAAUGAUUUGUUCGCAAUAUGCAAUUAGUCGUUUCAAAAUUUUGUAUCUAAACACUGAUACUCCUUGAGUAUGAAAAUCUAUGGAAUUGACCAAGUAUUGAUACAAGUUAAAAAUGCCAAGGCUGUGAGGAAUGUCGCUUUUAUGACUUUCAUGUUGCUGCUCCUUUUGGUUGAGAAAGAGACAUAUAGGAAUAUAUAGGAUUAAGGCAAUGAAAUAGAGGAAGGAAUCCAUGAAACUACGUGUGACUUAUAUUUUGAGAUUUUUUUUCCUCCACUUUCAUUCAUAGUUGAGGGAUGAUAUGUUAUGUUGGCUCAGAAGGGGGUCCUCUCCCUACUAGGGUUCUAACAAGCAAUAACAAUACUCUGUAACCUUCUACUUUUCCUCAUUAUCCCAUCCCUCCCCCUCUCCCUCUAGCAAACUUACCCUAAAGUGAGAGACAAUUUUGUAGGUUACUGUCCUUUUUAUUUUUUUCUUUUUCUUUUUUUUUUUUCUGUUGACAUCUUUGUGUUUUUUUAACUGCAUCUAGUCAUUAUUUAAAUUGUUGUAGCUAAACACUAAUACGGUUAUGUGAUCUUGCUUUGACUUUUCAAGUAUUUCUUUCAACAAUGUGGUCCUAAUAUUUCUUACAACAAUGCAGCAAGUGGUUCCUGCAGAAGAUUGGACAUGAAGGUUGUAUUAUAAGCUGUUUAAUUGUGUAACAUUAUAAAUUGUCUUUUUGGCUUGCUCAAUGGUUCUUACUUGUUUAUAGGACUCAACAAUAUGUUGAUGGCUUAUGAGGAUAAAUCUGCUUAUGCUUUGUGUGCUUUUUCUUUCGCCAUUGGGCCUGAUGCUGAGCCUAUUGCAUUUCUGGGUAAAACUCCGGUAUGUAGACUACUAUUUUCUUAUCCCAAAUAUUCCAGGUGUAUUCUUACACUUUACUCUUUGUUCUAUACCUCUGUAUAACCUUUAGUAUAAUAAAUCUCUGGAUAUGAUUUUCAUGAUACCUUAUGCAUUCUGCUCAAGACAAAUGUGAAUGUUCUUUGAUGAUAAUCUGUAUACUAUCUAUGGUUUCCUAUUUUGGUUGUGGUAAUCCCUGAUAUUCUUCAUUUGAGUGAGGAUGAGUUGAAUGACACCUAAAUUAAUCAUGCAAAAGAUUAAAGAACUCUCCUCAUGGAUAAAUUAACCAACCCCCACCCCCCACCCCCGACCCAAAAAAAAAAAAAGACGGAGAGAGAAAAGUAGAUAUCUUGCUCAAGUCAAUAGAACUAGAAAGGCUUGCCUGAAACCAGGAGGAUCAUUGUGGCGCACAUUAUUUAUAAAGUGCAUUAAUAUAGAAAUGUAGGUUAUGGUUUGGUUUCUACUAUUGAAAUUUGAAAAUGAGUCCUCUAUCUACAUCUAUUUUCUUGUGCCUGGUUGAUCACGAGUCCUCAGACUUGAUCAUGUAUGACUUAAUUCUAGUUGACCUGAAAUAAGUCCUUUGAACAAGAGAAUAUUGUUUGUUGGAUUCGUAGGAUUAAACUAGAUGCUGAAAGGUGUUAGAAAGUGAUCCAUCUGUGCUUAUGUUGGUGUUUAAACCAAAAAAAAAAAAAACGAGAUUUCUACAAGGAAUUUGGAAUUUCCAGCUGUUUGGAAUAAACAGCAUAAAUAGUUUCCACAAACACCCAACCGGGUGGGCACUAACCUGCAUUUUACGAAUGAAUAUCAGGGGAAAAUAGUUCCUGCAAGGGGACCAAAUGAUUUUGGAUGGGAUCCAAUUUUUCAACCUGAUGGUUAUGAGCAAACGUGAGUGUUAUCUUUAUUUGAAGAUUCGAUUUUUUUUUCUCAGUGGUCCGCAUUGGUACUUGAAGCUGAAUCUCGUUAUUUAUUUUGUAGCUAUGCCGAGAUGUCAAAGGAAGAAAAGAACAAGAUUUCUCAUCGCUACAGAGCUCUUGCACUAGUGAAGUCUCACUUUGCUGAAGCUGCAUAUACUUUUGAGACCAACUAGUCUACCUAGGACUGAGUUUCUUCAUCAUGUUGCCUCUGCAUAGGCUUCCAUAGUAUGCAACCUUUUCCUGUCAUUAGCAAUUCUUCCAGUCUUGUUUGAUGGUCUACAAAAGCUAGAGGCAAAGUGGAAGUUACAGUUCAAACCAUUUAGUAUCUGUGCUCAUGCGAAAAUGAGAGGUUAGUGGAGAAAUACUGAAAUAGCUUUCUUGCCUGUGUUUUGAGCUACAUGUUAUAAACUAUUAAACUUUUCGACUGCUAUGCUCAAUUCAGAGAAAAGUAUUAUGAACUAUAAAGGUAUGAACUGUUCAAAUAGUUAUGGAAACCGUUCUCUAACUCCAUUAGUGUCACUCUUUACUAGUUUUAUUUUUACCCCAUAUAGAAGUUUACCGUCUUUGUUGACGUCGUUUACUUAAUCUGUAAAUGUGAAUGAAAGAGGAUUUUACAUAGCACCCAAUUCAAACCAAGUCAUAAGGUUGUUUUGUUCAUAUUUUUACUUUAUGGGAAGUACUUCAAUGGGAAAUUUCCCAAUAUCCAAACAAGAUCUUACACGAGAUGUGAUGGAAAUUUUACAAUCUUAGUCGACGUCGUUCAGAUCAUCAAUAAAAAUGAUUGAAAUAGGACUUUGUGGUUCCCCCAAUUCAAAUUAUGUCAUCAACUUGUUUGUUCAUGUUCUUACUUAAUAAGAGAGUCGAUAGACUUCAGUGGGAAGAUUCCCAGUUCUAAAACAAGAUCUUAUACAUAGAUUUGGAAUCAGGUAGUUCUUGUCAUAUUCAGUUUUACUCGGUUUGGGUUCCAAAAUGUAGACUAGUGUUGGUCUGUGGUUAACUUGAAAAAAAAUGAGUAAAUUUACAGACUUCCUAUCCAAUAGGCUGCCUAAACCCUAAUGUUUGGCUUCGUUGAUCCAACUUUGAGUUCUAAGUAGGAGGCCUUUAUGACUCGUUUCGUAUCGUAACCAACCAAAACAGUUCCUCAGACUAAAAUGAACUUGAUCACUACUUCCCAACGUAGGAAUGGAAUUUGGUCGAGGAAAAUAUACAGUCACCUAGAUCUUGUUUAUUGUCUGAUAUGGACUAAUGUGUUUGGUACUGAGCUUCGAUUACCUGUGUCAAACAGCUGCUAACAUCAAAAUGUGUAAACUAUCAUCGAGAGUUGUUUUAUCCUAUUGUAUCUGCCCGUUGUAAAACUCUGGUGUACAACAAAUGUGAUGAUAAGAAAUGGAGAGGAAUAGACUGUUUUGUUACUUGGGAUAGAGAUGAACGAAAUUGGAAUAGGAUUCUUGGUGAGCAUAAUGAGAUUUUCGGUGCAGGGAAUUUCCAAAUAUAGCAAAAAAAAAAAACAGACAGACAGGGCAGUUGGGGGUUUCCAUUGUAUCCGAUUCCUUGUCUAUUUCUCUCAAAUAUCUCCGUACCACUAUUACCAAUCGUAAUGUUUUGAGAAAACAACAAUUUUCAAUUGAGCUCUUAGAUCAUUCAUACCACUAUUAUCCAAUAAUGUUGUGCAGAUAAAUUCUCUCUAUUUUAAUGUGUAAUUUCCAAUCUUGUCUUAGAACCAACAUGUCAUUUUUAGACAUUUCUCCAAUUUUUGACGGAUGAGACACUUUUGUAUAUUCGUCCAUCACAUUUUACUAGUUCUCUUCAGGACUUUUUUAUUAUAUAUAUAUAUAUAGCAUAUAUCAAGCCGUGAACCGUCCGAUCGUUUAUGUUAUACAAAUGUGUAUAGCAGCCGAACUCGUUCUCUUCGUACAAUAUGAAUUUCGCACGUAACAAGAAACAAGAACCACACGAAGCAGAAAUUGCAUAAGAACUUUCUGUUGCCGUAGAAAGAAUCGGUUGCAGAAAAAUGGGGGUUAAGAGCGAUAUAUGGUCCCAUGCCUACAAGGCAAGGCAAAGGGUCGAAAGAAAAUGAUCCUCACAUGCCAAAUGGGCCAUGACUCACAUGGAAGCUAAAAAUGCUAAAUCUUCCAUCUCUAUUUUGGUGAUAUCAUGUAACACCAUGAAAUAGGACUCAUCGCAUAAUCACCAUCAACAUUUAUUUCUUCUUCUUCUUCUUCUUCUUCUAAACAAGUUAGGGCUGGUGGUGGUGGUGGUCACUCUCUGGUGGUGGUGAUGGUGGUGGGUCAUUUUGGGCACCUCCACAUGCUUCUGCCGUUGCAGCUAGCUAGCUUCCUUCUAUCCUUCUUCUGCAGACCUGACCUUUCAGAAUAUAUAUAUCCGUUGUGGAAUUGAUGGUACUAAAUACCAAAGUAUGUUGCUAUCUGAAGGACUAGUUUUGUACUCAUGUAAAUGCAGUAAUGGUAUUGGGUAUUACAUUAGAUACAACCAUUUUUGCGCUAGAAACAAACCUAUCCUAUGACUUAAAGAUCUUUUGUUAAAACAACGAUAUUUUCUACCAGAUAACUGUCAUAUUAUGUUGUCAGAUUGCCAACUGGACCUAUCCACAUGAACUUCACCUUACAGUUCGAAAGCAUCUAAUGCAACUUCUUACAAUUAUUUUCACUUUUAACUUAGGCAUGCAUACCACGUUCAUGUUAUCCUGAAUCACAUCACGAUGGAGUCAACCUCACAAUUGAGCAAGGUUCUUGACAAAUUUGGUUCACACUUUAUGUACAGAAGAUAAAGUUUUGCCCUCUUUCGUAAUGUUUUACUUGUUGCAGUCCUUGUUUUUCAUAUAUCACUUGAUAGUUAUGGAGAAGAUAAGAUGAUUGUUCCUUGUGGUCUCCUGUUUCUGCUAAACAAUUACCAGAGGAAGUUGUGACAGUCAAGUAAUGAAUGAGUUGGUAACAUGAUGCUAAAGGUGAGGGAAAGGGUGAUGAUGAUUUAACAUGUUGGUUUGUUGGUUGGUUAAUGACUUGAUUUGUAUCAUGUGGUAUGUUGGGAGAGAGCACAUGGAGCAAUUAGAAAUGCCAGUAGAGAACCAAACAUUGAUGAUUGAUAGUUGAGCAUAAUGAUAUUUAGAGAGAACCCACUUGUAUUGCACAACCAAAAGUAAAAGAUUGCUUCCAUUGCCAUUUGCCAAAGAAGAAAAAAAGCUUAAUAAGUGAAAAGGUACAAAACAUCACUGCCAAUUGCUAUGCUCUCUCUCUAGAAGACUGUAAUGAAGUCCUUUCAUAACCCAAGUUUUGACAUUCAUAUCUCACACUAUUUGCUUGUAAGACUCUAGACAAAAGCAGAAACCCAGAAAACCAUUCAUAUCCUAUAAUAAGACCCCAAAUGUAUGCAGAUGAAAAAUACUGACACUGGGAGGGAAGAUAGACAAACAAGGACACACAAACUGUGGUUAGAAUAUGGUGGUGGUGGUGGUGGUAGAUAGGAUGAAACAGAGUAAGACCGAAAGAUAGGAUAUAAGGAAAAAAAAGAAAAACAUGAACAACACUUCUGCACCUGCUCCUAAAAUGGCAUUGUAUUUUUCAGAGGAAGCAGACCGAGGUUGAGCAAUGACAGAAUAGACAGUUUGGCGGGGGUGGGAGGGAAAUGGAUUCGGGUUCAGAUUUGGACUCGACAAUAUAGUGACAUGUGUAAAUAAUGUACACUUGCCAGAUUUUGAAGAAUAGAAAGAUGGGGUGAAGAAACCAAUUGGUGGAAUAUUUUGAAAUUGGGUAAUGUUCUAUAUAAGUGUAAAGCUGAGAAUGAGAUACUACGAGUACUAGCAGGUACGUCCUCUGCGGCAUCCAAGUGCACCAGCACCAGCAGUUAUGGUUCCCACCAUGGCCGAUGACUUGGCUCCCAAGCUUGAGGCCCUGGCAUAGACAGCUGACGCUCCAGCUCCAGAUGGAGUGAAGAAGGCACCAUUGAGUAGAAGAUCACCUUCUGACCUCCAGUUCCAGCCCCUCCACUGAGUUUGCGAUGUCUCCACUCUCUUGGUAACCUUCACAACGCGAUUUUUCACCAAUAAUCAGAAAACUUAGUAUGUAAACUUCGUCAUAAUCAAAAGGUAGAUGUGAGUAGCGAUUAAGACAAUACCUCCUUUGCAAAGGGGUUGGUUGGAGCUGCAUAUCUGUUGCCUUGGCUGUUGAUAGUGGGGUCUGCACUUCCACCGAUGGCAUACAUUUCCCAGUGAGUGUAGUCGUUGUUCACCACAUGGAAAUAUCCAUGUCUGCACCUGCAUUAUUCAUAGUUCAUAGCAGCAUUAACAAAUGCAACUCUGCUACCAAGGCAAAAUCCGAUUUCAAUAUUGAAUAAUGUCAUAAGUAGGGUUGCUGUUUCUUGCAGCCAAGUUUUAUGUCCAGAACUCAUCCUAAUUGAAAUCGACAUAUCAGACAUGGGAAGCUAAAUAUGCCGGUUCUAGUUGAAAAAUUACCUUGGCAUUCUCUGGAUAAGUCCCUCUCCAAAGUGGUUGUAGGCAAUAGUCACUUGCAUUUGCUUGUCCCUGGUAUAAGAAUCGCUGUGGCCCAACAGCAUUACCUGAUUCAAUUGCAUAGAUAAAAAUGUCAGUAUCACAACUAAAAUAUAGAUGGAAGUAAAUAUUAAUCGGGAAGAGGCAUUAGACAUACUUCAUUGUGGUGGGUAAGGUGGUUGUUGGAGAUGGUAAUAGCAGUUGACCCCAUGACAGCAUCAACAAGACCAUCAGCACAAUUGGAGAGGGAAUUGUGAUCAACCCAGAUAUGGCUUGACCCGAAGAUGGAGAUAGCAUCACCAUCAGCCAUUGUCCUCCAUCCAAAGUGAGAUGGGGAGCUCCUCACCAAAGCAUUUCCUGUGGGCUUGCA